UGAGGAACAUGACCUUCGGCGGGGGGAUAGCCGGCCCAACGGCCGGGUAAUACCGCGUACGACCA
rnacentral:rRNA from 1 species